rnacentral:rRNA from 1 species
CCUACGGGAGGCUGCAGUGGGGAAUAUUGGACAAUGGGGGCAACCCUGAUCCAGCCAUGCCGCGUGUGUGAAGAAGGCCCUCGGGUUGUAAAGCACUUUCAGUGAGGAAGAACGCCUGGUGGUUAAUACCCAUCAGGAAAGACAUCACUCACAGAAGAAGCACCGGCUAACUCCGUGCCAGCAGCCGCGGUAAUACGGAGGGUGCGAGCGUUAAUCGGAAUUACUGGGCGUAAAGCGCGCGUAGGUGGCUUGAUAAGCCGGUUGUGAAAGCCCCGGGCUCAACCUGGGAACGGCAUCCGGAACUGUCAAGCUAGAGUGCAGGAGAGGAAGGUAGAAUUCCCGGUGUUGCGGUGAAAUGCGUAGAGAUCGGGAGGAAUACCAGUGGCGAAGGCGGCCUUCUGGACUGACACUGACACUGAGGUGCGAAAGCGUGGGUAGCAAACAGGAUUAGAUACCCGUGUAGUC